AGGAGGAACAACCGCAGUGGCGGGGCCAGCUCUGGUGCCCUGGAGUCAGUUCCCGCAGUAGCUCGAGAGCUCUCGGUCUGCAGGGCCUGGAGGCUCUGGGGCGGG
rnacentral:pre_miRNA from 1 species